AGAGUUUGAUCCUGGCUCAGAUUGAACGCUGGCGGUAUGCCUAACACAUGCAAGUCGAACGGGAGUCCUGGCUUCGGUCAGGUGAGAGUGGCGGACGGGUGAGUAACGCGUGGGAACCUGCCCAGUGGUGGGGGAUAACUGCGGGAAACUGCAGCUAAUACCGCAUGAGCCCGAGAGGGGAAAGAUUUAUCGCCAUUGGAGGGGCCCGCGUUCGAUUAGGUAGUUGGUGAGGUAACGGCUCACCAAGCCGACGAUCGAUAGCUGGUCUGAGAGGAUGAUCAGCCACACUGGGACUGAGAUACGGCCCAGACUCCUACGGGAGGCAGCAGUGGGGAAUAUUGGACAAUGGGGGGCAACCCUGAUCCAGCAAUGCCGCGUGAGUGAUGAAGGCCUUCGGGUUGUAAAGCUCUUUUGCCGGGGACGAUGAUGACGGUACCCGGAGAAUAAGCCCCGGCUAACUUCGUG
rnacentral:rRNA from 1 species